CAGGUGCCAGCCAGGACACCUGAACCAACUUGGAGCUCAGGAACCCAGGAGGGGAUUGGAGAGAGUGAGGAGACUCCGUGGUCCACAAUGAACGCUCCUUCCCCAUCCAAAAAAAUCCCCCAGCCCAGUUUUUGGGCAGAUGCCAGACUUUUAUUCUGAAGCGUGGGCCACAACCUAUGAGGUAAUCUUUGGAGCUUCAUUCUGAGGCGGAAUCCCAUUGGCCAGUUGGGGAAGCCCCUCCCAGGAUUCCUGGCGCUCCGCCUUCCCCAAAGCCUAUAAAGGCGCAGGUCCCCGCCUCGGCAGCCACGGGACACCUGCAUCUGCUAACAAGACUGGAAGCAGGUGAGGCACACAGAGCGGGAGGCCCGCAGCUGCGUGGGAGGAGGGGUGGUCCGAGGGACGUGGGAUGCCGGGAAUGAGGCUGGUUUGCAGGUCGGCGCAUGGACAUUUUCCCAGAAAGGGACAGAGACGGCGAAGUUUGACGGUCUGGAAAGCAGAGACCAGCGGGGCUGACUGCUUGGGAGCACGAGGGACAGCUCUCCACCGACCGAAGGAGGAGAAUGCUAUUUAUUUCAGCACCAAGUAUCCAGACAGCGCCUCUCGGGAGGUCCGAGAAGUGAACUGCGAUCUGUUUCAGCACCAGGGCUCAGGACAGUUCCCAGCGGGCUCCGUUUCGGCGCCAGAACCCUGGACAGCUCCCCCAGUAGAGAUGGGGUUUCACCAUGUUGGCCAGGCUGGUCUCAAACUCUUGACCUCUUCAUCUGCCCGCCUCAGCCUCCCAAAGUGCUGGGAUUACAGGCAUGAGUCACCGCGCCUGGCCCAAGUCCGGGAUUUUCAACAGGACGUGGGUGUUACUGUGCCCACGUGACAUUUGAGGAACCCAAGGCCCCGAGAAAGGCAGAAAAAUAACCCACGCAGGGGCUCUCAGCCCACAAGUGAAGCUAUCCUGCCUCUCUCCAGGAGAACCGGGACUGGAAAACAGGGAGUCAGUAGAGAGGCAGGAAACUCAGGUGUCACAGCUUGGCUCAGGCUGUAGUGCAAUGGCAUGAUCUCAGCUCACCACAACCUCCGCCUCCCGGGUUCAAGUGAUUCUCCUGCCUCAGCCUCCUGAGUAGCUGGAAUUACAGGUAUGUGCCACCACGCUGGGCUAAUUUUGUAUUUUUAGUAGAGAUGGGGUCUCUCUAUGUUGGUCAGGCUGGUCGUGAACUCCCGACCUCAGAUCCGCCCGCCUCGGCCUCCCAAAGUGCUGGGAUUACAGACGUGAGCCACCGCGCCCGGCCAGCCCUUAUUGAUUCUUAUUAAAGCCACACUAACCUUUUAUUUCCCCCCAAAGACCCCUGGGAGCCCUCAGUUUUUCCUGGCAGUUUCAUCUUUGUACCCCCCGCCUCCCCACACACAUGCCUAGCUCAGUGCUGACAUCCAAUAUUCACUUUGGAUAUAAAUGCUUGUGCCUGAGCCUAUCACCUUCAUCAGACACAAAAUCCUGGAGGCCACACACCCCUGUAAAGAUAAGCCAUUAUCCACAGAGGUCCAACCAACUUACCACCCUCUCCCAGCCACCCUGAAGGACCCAGCUUGCAGCUGCCUACUCAAUGGCUUUAGAAACUAAAAAAGGUGAAUGAGUUUCCAUCACUGCCCUCCUGGGCUUUGCUGUUAUGGCUGGUUAACUUGACAGAAGAACAUAUUAUACUUCAUUUCGUGCCGUUGUCUUGUUGGAAAAAAAGUGACAGCUGGGUGCAGUGGUGCACACUGUAGUCACAGCUACUCAGGAGAAUUGCUUGAGCACAGGAGUUGGAGUCUACACUGAGCUGUGAUCGCAUCACUACACUCCAGCCUGAACAACAGAGCAAGACCCUCUUAAAAAAUAUGUGAGAGAGGCUGGGCACGAUGGCUCACGCCUGUAAUCCCAGCACUUUGGGAGGCCAAGGCAGGCGGAUUGCUUGAGCUCAGGAGUUCAGGACCAACCUGGCCAACAUGGUGAAACCCUGUCUCUACCAAAAAUACAAAAAAAAAAAAAAAAAAAAAAAUGUCGAACGUGGUGUCACGAGCCUGUAGUCCCAGCUUCUAAGGAGGCUAAGGUGAGAGGAUCGCCUGAGCUUGGAAGGCAAAGGUUGCAGUGAGCCGAGAUCGCAUCACUGCACUCCAGCCUGGGUGACAGAGCGAGACCCCAUCUCAAAACAAAACAAAACAAAACAAAACAAAACAAAACAAAACAAAACGGGCAUGAUGGCUCACAUCUGUAAUCCCAGCACACUUUGGGAGGCCAAGGCAGGUGGAUCACUAGGUCAGGAGAUCGAGACCAUCCUGGCUAACAUGGUGAAACCCUGUCUCUGCUAAAAAUACAAAAAAAAAAAAUUAGCUGGCCGUGGUGGCAUGAGCCUGUAGUCCCAGCUACUCGGGAGGCUGAAGCAGGAGAAUUGCUUGAACCCAGGAGGCGGAGGUUGCAGUGAGCUGAGAUCAUGCCACUGCACUCCAGCCUAGGCAAUAGAGCAAGACUCUGUCUCAGGAAAAAAAAAAAAAAAAAAAAAAGUGUGAGAGAGACCCCCU